rnacentral:rRNA from 1 species
GACGAACGCUGGCGGCGUGCUUAACACAUGCAAGUCGAGCGGUAAGGCCCUUUCGGGGGUACGACGAGCGGCGAACGGGUGAGUAACACGUGGGUGACCUGCCCUCAGCUCUGGGAUAAGCCUGGGAAACUGGGUCUAAUACUGGAUAUGACUCCACGGUGCAUGUCGUGGGGUGGAAAGCCUUGUGCGGCUGAGGAUGGGCCCGCGGCCUAUCAGCUUGUUGGUGGGGUGAUGGCCUACCAAGGCGACGACGGGUAGCCGGCCUGAGAGGGCGGACCGGCCACACUGGGACUGAGACACGGCCCAGACUCCUACGGGAGGCAGCAGUGGGGAAUCUUGCGCAAUGGGCGAAAGCCUGACGCAGCGACGCCGCGUGAGGGAUGACGGCCU